GGGCCCGUAGCUCAGCUUGGUUUUGGGGUAUCAACCCAACAAGAAUAGAGCACCGGUCUUAUAAGCCGGUGGUCGGGAGUUCAAAUCUCCCCGGGCCCA
rnacentral:tRNA from 1 species